GCCUUAGUAGCGGCGAGUGAAGCGGCAAAAGCUCAAAUUUGAAAUCUGGCACUUUCAGUGUCCGAGUUGUAAUUUGAAGAAGGUAUCUUUGGGUCUGGCUCUUGUCUAUGUUUCUUGGAACAGAACGUCACAGAGGGUGAGAAUCCCGUGCGAUGAGAUGUCCCAGACCUAUGUAAAGUUCCUUCGAAGAGUCGAGUUGUUUGGGAAUGCAGCUCUAAGUGGGUGGUAAAUUCCAUCUAAAGCUAAAUAUUGGCGAGAGACCGAUAGCGAACAAGUACAGUGAUGGAAAGAUGAAAAGAACUUUGAAAAGAGAGUGAAAAAGUACGUGAAAUUGUUGAAAGGGAAGGGCUUGAGAUCAGACUUGGUAUUUUGUAUGUUACUCUCUCGGGGGUGGCCUCUACAGUUUACCGGGCCAGCAUCAGUUUGAGCGGUAGGAUAAGUGCAAAGAAAUGUGGCACUGCUUCGGUAGUGUGUUAUAGUCUUUGUCGAUACUGCCAGCUUAGACUGAGGACUGCGGCUUCGGCCUAGGAUGUUGGCAUAAUGAUCUUAAGUCGCCCGUCUUGAAACACGGACCA
rnacentral:rRNA from 1 species